rnacentral:misc_RNA from 1 species
GAUGAAGAACGCAGCGAAAUGCGAUACGUAAUGUGAAUUGCAAAUUCAGUGAAUCAUCGAGUCUUUGAACGCACAUUGCGCCCCCUGGUAUUCCGGGGGGCAUGCCUGUCCGAGCGUCAUUGCUGCCCUCAAGCACGGCUUGUGUGUUGGGCCCCGUCCUCCGAUCCCGGGGGACGGGCCCGAAAGGCAGCGGCGGCACCGCGUCCGGUCCUCGAGCGUAUGGGGCUUUGUCACCCGCUCUGUAGGCCCGGCCGGCGCUUGCCGAUCAACCCAAAUUUUUAUCCAGGUUGACCUCGGAUCAGGUAGGGAUACCCGCUGAACUUAAGCAUAUCAAUAAGGGAGG